GACGAACGCUGGCGGCGUGCCUAACACAUGCAAGUCGAGCGGAGUUAAUUGAAAGCUUGCUUUUGGUUAACUUAGCGGCGGACGGGUGAGUAACGCGUGGGCAACCUGCCUAUCACAGGGGGAUAACACAGGGAAACUUGUGCUAAUACCGCAUAAUACAGCGAGAAAGCAUUUUCUUGUUGUCAAAGGAGCAAUCCGGUGACAGAUGGGCCCGCGUCCAAUUAGCUAGUUGGUGAUGUAACGGACCACCAAGGCGACGAUUGGUAGCCGAACUGAGAGGUGGAUCGGCCACAUUGGGACUGAGACACGGCCCAGACUCCUACGGGAGGCAGCAGUGGGGAAUAUUGCACAAUGGGGGAAACCCUGAUGCAGCAACGCCGCGUGAAGGAUGAAGGUUUUCGGAUUGUAAACUUCUUUAGUCAGGGACGAAUAAAUGACGGUACCUGAAGAAUAAGCCACGGCUAACUACGUGCCAGCAGCCGCGGUAA
rnacentral:rRNA from 1 species